CCAGCCACGGACUGAGAGUGCAU
rnacentral:miRNA from 1 species